ensembl:lncRNA
GUUCUUUCAUAAAUGUCACCAAUGCACAGCCUCCUCCCUCCAACUCUUCCAUAGACUCUAAUGUUAAAAUGGCUCAGAAGGUUCGUUUGAAAAUCAGAAGAGCAUGGUGUCUUUCCACUGUCACCACGUCCAUAUAAUAAACUCCACAGGCAUGAAAACUGAGAAUUCAGUAGACUAGAAGCUGCUGUCGCUCACGGUGAAAGAAUUUUGUCAAUACGACUUUUACUUUUCAUUUGGGAACGAUUUGUUUCGGCCUGACUUUUCUGUUCAUUUUAAGCAGCAAAAGUGAGGUGCAUGUCUGUGUACGUGUGUAUGGAGCCAUUGGGUGCGGUCACUAUAGCAACCAGGCUCACACCUGCCUGCUUAACGAGCUCUGCCUGCCACUGUCCAAGAUUCAUCUUAAGCACUUCUCUUUCAACUGCUGCUGUGUCCACAGUGUUACAGCCAUCAUUUUACCCUCAAAUUGUCGCCAUUAUUGUUCUCUUUCCAACACCGUGUCUUUCAAAGCUCAGGCAUUUAAACCUUUUAAACUGUGUGGAUCAAAGUGGAGGGAUCACAUUUGAGUCAUUCAGUGAUUCAAAGAAUAUGACCUUUUAAUAUUCAUUCAGAUGUUUUCUGACUCUAAAUGUUCUUUUCUCAUUUCUUAGGGUUUUCUAAUUUACAUUUAAAACAUUUUCAGUUUUUUUCCAACUCCUUCUUCUGUGUAACCUUCAGCUUUUAGCAGUUCAGCACCUUUGUUUUCAGGUUAAAUUCGGGGUUUUUUUUGGGUUUUUUUUAAUCUCAUUCAAUAUUUUUAACUCAAAAUUCAGCAAUUAAUUCAUUUCAGUGCAUACAUUCAGAUUCAAGCAUUCACACUGCAGUUUCUUCAGAAAAUGCACUUUCUAGUUAUUAUAUCAUCUUCCGUACGUUUUUUGGCAUCUAACUCCUUCAAAACCGUUCAACUUAGAAAAACCAUUCAAACACCGUUAGAUUCCUAUUCUUUUGGACAUGACUGCUUCUAUUUUUCUCAUUUUUAACAUUUAUAUUUUUAAUUUUAUUCAACUUUAUUCAACAAAAAUUUAUAAUGUAUUUCAAUGGGGAGACCCUUCAAAUCCUCAUUCAACUUACUCAUUUUUAAACUGUAUCUACUUCAACAUUCGUUGACAUAGAGCCACCAUUCAAACUUUAAAACGAAGACAAGACAUUCAACUAUUCAACUUGUAUUUAUCUUUUCAAUAUCUAUUAUACUUUUUCUUCAGUUCCAGUUUAAGUUUCAUGAUGUUUUUUCACCCGUUUCAGAGUUUAUAAUGGGUGUGUAUGGGACGGAAUGUUGGGGCUAGAGUGAGGCAGCUCAACUGCUAGAGUGAGAGGAGCAAAAAAAUUAAUCUUAAAAUCUUUUUUAAAACUGCUGCUGUGUCUGCAGCGUUUGCUCUACAGGUAUGAUUUUACCCUCAAAACGUAGCCAUGGCUGUCCUCUUUCAUCCAAUGUGUUUACUAUUGUACUAGGUGUUAUGGUUCUUUCAUAAAUGUCACCAAUGCACAGCCUCCUCCCUCCAACUCUUCCAUAGACUCUAAUGUUAAAAUGGCUCAGAAGGUUGGUUUGAAAAUCAGAAGAGCAUGGUGUUUUUACACUGUCACCACGUCCAUAUAAUAAACUCCACAGGCAUGAAAACUGAGAAUUAGGUAGACUAGACAUUGCUGUCGCUCACGGUGAAAGAAUUUCGUCAAUACGACUUUUACUUUUCAUUUGGGAACGAUUUGUUUCGGCCUGACUUUUCUGUUCAUUUUAAGCAGCAAAAGUGAGGCGCAUGUCUGUGUACGUGUGUAUGGAGCCAUUGGGUGCGGUCACUAUAGCAACCAGGCUCACACCUGCCUGCUUAACGAGCUCUGCCUGCCACUGUACCAAGAUUCAUCUUAAGCACUUCUCUUUCAACUGCUGCUGUGUCCACAGUGUUACAGCCAUCAUUUUACCCUCAAAACGUCGCCAUCGUUGUUCUUUUUCCAACAUCUUGUCUUUCAAAGCUCAGAGAUGUAAACUUUUUAAAUUGUGUGGGUCCAAGUGGAGGGAUCACAUUUUAGUCAUUCAGUGAUUCAAAGAAUAUGACCUUUUAAUAUUCAUUCAGAUGUUUUCUGACUCUAAAUGUUCUUUUCUCAUUUCUUAGGGUUUUCUAAUUUACAUUUAAAACAUUUUCAGUUUUUUUCCAACUUCUUCUUCUGUGUAACGUCCAGCUUUUAGCAGUUCAGCACCUUUGUUUUCAGGUUAAAUUCAUUUUUUUUUUUUUGUUUUUUUAUCUCAUUCAAUAUUUUUAACUCAAAAUUCAGCAAUUAAUUCAUUUCAGUGCAUACAUUCAGAUUCAAGCAUUCACACUGCAGUUUCUUCAGAAAAUGCACUUUCUAGUUAUUAUUAGUGUGAAUGCUUGAAAAGCAUUCACAGUAUUGUUAUUCUAAUCUUUAUUAGUGUGAAUGCUUGAAAAGCAUUCACAGUAUUGUUCUUCUAAUCUUUAUUCUAUUUUAUUAUUAUUCUGUAUUCCGUACGUUUUUUUGUAAUCUAUCUCCUUCAAAACCGUUCAACUUAGAAAAACCAUUCAAACACCGUUAGAUUCCUAUUCUUUUGGACAACAUUGCUUCUAUUUUUCUCAUUUUUAACAUUUAUAUUUUUAAUUUUAUUCAACUUUUUUCAACAAAAAUUUAUAAUGUAUUUCAAUGGGGAGACCCUUCAAAUUCUCAUUCAACUUCCUCCUCUUUAAACUGUAUCUACUUCCACAUACAUUGACAUAGAGCCACCAUUCAAACUUUAAAACGAAGACAAGACAUUCAACUAUUCAACUUGUAUUUAUCUUUUCAAUAUCUAUUAUACUUUUUCUUCAGUUCCAGUUUAAGUUUCAUGAUGUUUUUUCACCCGUUUCAAAGUUUAUAAUGGGUGUGUAUGGGACGGAAUGUUGGGGCUAGAG